ensembl:lncRNA
UUGGGGGUGCCCCUGCCCACUAACAAAUCCUAACCCUAACCAGGGGGGUCCCUAAGAAAGACAAGAAAGUCAGAAAGGAGAAAGAAAAGCAAAGAAACAGAAAAAGUUAAGGAAAGUCACGUAAUAAAAGUAUAAAAGCCAAGAGAGGCAGAAACAGAGAAAAAUGAAAGCCAAGAGAGGCAGAAACAGAGAAAAACGUAAGACAAGAUAAAGUCACGUAAGAGAAAUAAAAGUAUAAAAGCCAAGGGAGGCAGAAACAGAGAAAAACGUAAGACAAGAUAAAGUCACGUAAUAAAAGUAUAAAAGCCAAGAGAGGCAGAAACAGAGAAAAAAGUCACGUAUGAAAGCCAAGAGAGGCAGAAAUAGAGAAAGCAGAAAAACACAAAUAGAAAACCUAAAAGAAGGAGGAGUCAAGUGACAGUAUAAAAGCCAAGAGAGGCAGAACAGAGAACAAGCAGUCAGAGACACAUUGGGCCAGCCUGAGGAAGGCGAAACUACGCCGAAACGUCGCGAAGGCCCAAUGAAGUGCACUAAACCCUAGAAAUGGGUAAUUUUUUGAACCAGGGCAGGGACACCACUACCCAGCCCCAUCGAUGGCCCGUGCACUUCAGGCUACCAGCUUGCUGGUGGCCUGUUCCUUACUCAACACCUAACCAGCCAGUGCCUCGUGGGGUUGGGGGUGCCCCUGCCCACUAACAAAUCCUAACCCUAACCAGGGGGGUCCCUAAGAAAGACAAGAAAGUCAGAAAGGAGAAAGAAAAGCAAAGAAACAGAAAAAGUUAAGGAAAGUCACGUAAUAAAAGUAUAAAAGCCAAGAGAGGCAGAAACAGAGAAAAAAGUCACGUAUGAAAGCCAAGAGAGGCAGAAAUAGAGAAAGCAGAAAAACACAAAUAGAAAACCUAAAAGAAGGAGGAGUCAAGUGACAGUAUAAAAGCCAAGAGAGGCAGAACAGAGAACAAGCAGUCAGAGACACAUUGGGCCAGCCUGAGGAAGGCGAAACUACGCCGAAACGUCGCGAAGGCCCAAUGAAGUGCACUAAACCCUAGAAAUGGGUAAUUUUUUGAACCAGGGCAGGGACACCACUACCCAGCCCCAUCGAUGGCCCGUGCACUUCAGGCUACCAGCUUGCUGGUGGCCUGUUCCUUACUCAACACCUAACCCUAACCCUAAAAACAAUUGGACACAACACAUCCUGACCCUAACCACAUACAAUCUGAAUACAAACAAUUGGACAUUAUACAAAAAUCAAUAAAGACAAACACAUAAUUAGGACAAAACAAUUAAAGGAGGAAUUGGAGGACACAAACCAAUUGGACAUAAUACAAAGGUCAAUAAGACAAACACGUAAUUAGGACAAAACAAUAAAAGGAGGACGUGGAGGACACAAAACAAGUGGACAAAACACAAAAGUCAAUAAAGACAUACAUAUAAUUAGGACAAAAAAAUAAAAGGAGGAUUUGGAGGAUACAAAACAAUUGGACAUAACACUAAAAGCCAAAACGAGAAACACGUAAUUGGGACAGAAAAAUCAAAGGAGGAUUUGGAGGACACAAAACAAUUGGGUAUCACACAAAAGGUCACAGAGGAGGACAUAACAAGGACAAAGGAAGGUGGGACAGGAUGGUUACAAAGAAAGGAAUAAAAUCAUAAAGUCACGUAAAAACCAAAGGAAAGGACGAAUAAGAAGGGGGUGCCAUAAAUAACAUAAGACAAAUAUUGGAAAGGAAAUUUAAGAAGGGGGUGCCAAUAAAACAAUAAAAACAAAGAAAGCCAAAGAAAAGACAGGACAAAACAAUAAGAAUAUUAAACAGAAAAAUAAUGAAACAGAAAACCCAAGAGUGGGAGGAGACAGCACACUAUAAAAGCCAAGAGAGGCACACAGACAACACACAUAGACACACACGUUGGGCCAGCCUGAGGAAGGCCUAUAACCGGCCGAAACGUCGCGACGGCCCAAUGACACACAAGUACAUUAUUAAAACACAAAACACAAAACACAAAAUUAUAAUAAUAACCUACCUACGGGUUGUUUUUGGAAACGGGACAAGGACAUCAUACCAGUCCGUUGGACGAUCACAGCCUCUUGGGGCAUGCUAUGGGGGACCUUGACGCCCGGGAUGGGAACAGGUAUGGACAGUGCAUUGGAGCCCGGCCCCCUUCGGGGACCGGACUCCCAACUUGAUCUCCCCUAAC